rnacentral:tRNA from 1 species
GGUGAGAUGGCCGAGCGGUCUAAGGCGCCAGACUAAGGAGCUCCUCUGAUAUCUGGUCCUCACGGGCGUGGGUUCGAAUCCCACUCUCAUCA